CCCUAAGGCUCCUUCUCAGUCUCGGUCGUCAGGAGGAGGGUACGCCGCCUUCCCACGGGUGACCUCGCUUCCUCCCCGAUACAUCUUAGGAAACAAGACAGGGAAGAAUGGGCGUUUUGUGAGCAAGGAUGAGGGCCGUGAAUGUGGACCAAAGCAGCAGAUUCCCUGAAAAUAUCCCAGCACUUCUCCAGUAAUCACUAUGAGCAAAUGAUUGAUGAUGACUGGAGCCUCCCAGAAUCUUGGUCAUACAUGAGACACAGGAGACCAUUUGAGGACAUACUGAGAAGGUGGCCAUCUGCAAGCUAACAAAGGAGACCUUCCUGGAAACCAACACUGUUAGAGCCUUGAUCUUGGACUUCCAGCCUCCAGAACUGUGGGGAAACAAAUUUUUGUUGUCUAAUCCACUCAUUUUCCUGAUUCUUUGAAUAACUGGGAAUGUUUUUAAUUAGAUACAAGACAUUGUGAAUUUCUAUACAUAUUCUCAAGCUUUGGGGAUGCAGUUAAAUCACGUGGAAGCAAUAGGAUCCUUUUAAGGCUUGCUCUUAAGCCUUGUUAAGCUGGAGCAGUGCAGUCUUUAGUAUAGGGCUAGUUUUGUUCCAGUACUAAGGCAAUAUAUGUCCUUUGCCUGAUGCUCUGUGAGCAUGAACUAUCCCUUGCUUUUUAUAGGCUCUAGAGAUUCUCACUGAUAUUUUCAGUGAUUAUUUUCUGCUGGCCUUGGAGAAAAAUAAGACACAUGUACUCAUUGGUAUUGAGCCAGAGCCUCAAGAGGCCUCUCUGUAGAUUUCCAGAAUUCUCUUUCUGUCUUUCUCUCCUCUGCCCUGUGAACGUUAGCUGCCUUGGCCAUACCAAACUCCAUCUCCUCAUUUAAUUUUUUUAAUGUUUUUAUUUUAUUUUUGAGAGAGAGAGACAGAGACAGAGAGACAGAGGCAGAAUGCAAGC